AGUCGAGCGGUAACAUUUCUAGCUUGCUAGAAGAUGACGAGCGGCGGACGGGUGAGUAAUGCUUGGGAAUAUGCCUUAUGGUGGGGGACAACAGUUGGAAACGACUGCUAAUACCGCAUAAUGUCUACGGACCAAAGGGGGGGAUCUUCGGACCUCUCGCCAUUUGAUUAGCCCAAGUGAGAUUAGCUAGUUGGUGAGGUAAUGGCUCACCAAGGCGACGAUCUCUAGCUGGUUUGAGAGGAUGAUCAGCCACACUGGGACUGAGACACGGCCCAGACUCCUACGGGAGGCAGCAGUGGGGAAUAUUGCACAAUGGGCGCAAGCCUGAUGCAGCCAUGCCGCGUGUGUGAAGAAGGCCUUCGGGUUGUAAAGCACUUUCAGUUGUGAGGAAAGUUUGAUGGUUAAUACCCAUUAGAUGUGACGUUAACAACAGAAGAAGGACCGGCUAACUCCGUGCCAGCAGCCGCGGUAAUACGGAGGGUCCGAGCGUUAAUCGGAAUUACUGGGCGUAAAGCGCACGCAGGCGGUUUGUUAAGCUAGGUGUGAAAGCCCCGGGCUCAACCUGGGAAUAGCAUUUAGAACUGGCAGACUAGAGUCUUGGAGAGGGGAGUGGAAUU
rnacentral:rRNA from 1 species